AAUAUAAAUAAAAAGGAAUAAUAAAGAAGCGAGUCACGAAAAGAAUGAAGUAAAAUAAAUUAUAGAAAGUUUGUAUACGGUGCUCCACAAAAUUAUCCACCCACACCAGGUACAUACACGUUAUUACAAUGUGUCUCUAUCAACCUGUAACUUGCACUGGAGCUUCCACUGAAGCCGCUGUCCAUGUCACAGCCAACAGGCGAAAGGAGGUCGUCGGUGGGACUGACCGAGGAUAACAGUUCCUCUGUGGACGCCCCUCGUUGGUCCUGUGGCUCGUCCUCGUCGUUGUUAUCGGCUACGGUAAUGGAAACCCGCCCAAAGGAUGUUAUCCGAUAAACCAUCAGAAAAAAAGUCGCUAAAGAAACCGGUUGACUUGAACGACGGGUAAGACUCUGCUCUUCCCAUAUUAACCUUCAAUUAAAGUCUCAUAACAUAACAUAAAUCCGAU
rnacentral:misc_RNA from 1 species